UCAGGAGCUCUGAGCUGCAGUGGACUAUGCCGAUCGGGUGUCCGCACUAAGCUCGGUAUCGAUAUGGUGCUCCUGGGGGAGCCCGGGACCACCAGGUCGCCUAAGGAGGGGUGCAUCGGCCCAGGUCGGGAACGGAGCAGGUCAAAGCCCCCGUGCCGCUCAGUAGUGGGAUCGCGCCUGUGAAUAGACGCUGUAGCGCAGCCUGAGUAAUACAGCGAGACUCAGUCUUUU
rnacentral:SRP_RNA from 1 species